rnacentral:lncRNA from 1 species
AUGGUGGGCGGCGGAGGCCCCGUCGCAGCCACCCUAGCGGCUCAGCCCGGGCGCCGCUCCCUGAUAGGCCGCUCCACGCCCCGCCCCUUGCUUCCCGCCGCUCCCAUUGGCCACACCGCCAGCCAGCGCUGCUCUGAUUGGCUGCCGAGGCGUCGCUCCCGCUCUGCCCGCAGCGGAGCUAUUUUCCAGGCGGCGGCGGCGGCGGGGGAGGGGAGGGGAGCGGAGGAGCGGAGCGGAGGGGCCCGGCCCGGCCCGGCCCCGCGGAGCGCCCGGCGGCUGCGGGACAUGGCGGGGGCACGGCGCGGGGCUCAGCACCGCGGAAUUUUGGAUCUCAUGAAGAGAAGGGAAGUGGAUGGCAGCUGUACAGUGUUUUAUAAUCUAACACGUGAACACAUGCAGUCCUGACACUGUCUUUUUGAACCCCAAAGCCUAACAAGGGGAUACAAGGACUUAUCCCUCCCACCAUUGAAAAAAUCUCAAAGCAGGAUUUCUGAACUGAAGUUACCACGUGUGUAGCUGCUUGGAAAGAAAGUGGCAGAACAUCAGCUAUGCAAGCUGAGAGUGCUUUUUGCUCAUUGUGAACCUGCACCAAGGAGGGGGAGGAUAUUACUGCUUACUUUCAGGUUGAAACAAUGGCAAAUACCAUAAUUUUUCUUUCACUUGACACUCUGCCAACUUAAGUCCUUGAAAGUUGUAGCUUUCAGUGUGCUUUAGGGGGCUGCAUCAAGCCGACUUCGUGUUUUGUGUUCCAAAUAAACCUGGUCAGUGGCUGAACUUUCAACCUGAGUGUUCAGAGAAGUAGCUCACAUACAGUCCUCAUCUUUGCAAGCAGAGGCCCAUGUCUGAUGAAGAUACAGGCUUCAGGUGAAACUUCUUUUCAAAGUACCUAUCAUCUAGUGGGGGCAGAAUGAACCAGAGCAGCUGUGGAAGGAAGCAGACUUGCCCUGGCUGUUACUUCCCCUCUCCUCAUCCGCACCUCCCUUGCAUUAACAACUGAUACAAUAAAGAAGUCAAAAAAAAAUAAUAAAAAAAUGGCAUCAAUGAUUGAGACUUUUUUCUGAUAAUUAGUUUUAGUCUGGAUCAGUUCCCUGAGCUGGCUGACUGAGCAGCUGCACGGUGUACAGACCAUGUCCUGUACCGGCACGUGUGGCCAGGAGGGGGCUGCUGCCAUUUCUUCUGGUUGCAGUGCUGCCUUGGUGUGGUGUUGGAAUUGUAGCUUGAUAUCCUUUACCUUUUUGGGUGUAGUGGCUGUCUCUGGUCCGGGAAUUUGGACCUUCAGAUCAUUCUCCCAACACCACUGAGCUUUGAACUAACCAGAGCCUGCAGCUAACUUAUUCCUUCUUUUUUUAAGAAACGUUCCUAGGAUUUCAGCAGCAAUUCAUUAUUUCUGAAAUGUGCAUUGGAAGGGAGGAAAUUGCUUCGUGAUCCUUAGCAUUGCCUUUUCUCCCUUCCUCAAGUGGGUUCCUUCAGAUGGUAGGAGCUGGCCAGCCCUCCUCAUUUUGGCCGAGUAAGGCUGGGGAGUGCUGCUGUGAGCAGCCCUGUCCCUGUGGCUGGGGGAGCAUAGCCCAUAGCAGGUGCUGGGCAGUAUGAGAAUAGGGCACUAACCACCUCAGCAAGCGUGCCGUGGUGCAGGAGGGCAACGUCUUCUUUAAUGGGGCCUCCCAUCCUUGUGGGGUGAAUUUUGACUCGUAGGAGUUGUCUGUCUCUGUUCUCUUCCAAUGUUUUAUGUUCUGAAACUGUUAUAAGGUGAAAAUAGCAAACCAGAGAAUUUUGUAGGCUCUUGUUUUUGAAAUAAGCACCUUUUUAAGGUGUCCUACAUCAUAUUGUGUUAUGACUUCUGUGAAGAUGGUACAUUUUUAGGAGUUACUUAGAAUGUAACUUACUGUAUCAUCUAUUUUUCAAAUGAAGUACCGCUGUGAGAUUGAGACAAGCACAUUGCCUCUAGGACACAGCCCAGCUGGCACGCAGGGUGGCCCCAGCUCUAGCUGGAUGCUGCGACACUUCUGGGAAGAACAGCCCGAGUUUUCACGGUAACCUGUUGGUAUGAGGCACUUAAGUGCUAUUAAACUAAUGGCUUGCCUACCUUUUUUUUUAGUUUCAUCAUUUAUCCACUCGAAAUAGUUGGAUACAGUGCUCCUACAAACUUCCUGGCUUUGGAUGUGUCUCUGAACUGGUUGCAAGAGGGGAUAUAGUGUCACUGCAUCUGUAAUCCCUUCUGAGUGCUUACUACCCGUUAUUUUUAAGAUAACUUAAGCCAGUUUAAGGGAGACAAAUUAUUUUCAGUUGGAAGGGGAUUGUUGUGGAAAUGUUAGUAUAACUUUUUCUGAGAAAAUUUACAAAGUGAUGAAUUCACUUUGUGGAUUUUGAUGGGAUUAGGUUUAUUUUUUGUUCAGGCUAAAAUAACCUUUUCCAAAGAUAACUUUUCUCAGGCAGUGCUCCUUUGGAAAACCAGGAUGGCUUUAGGGCCAGUUCAGAAAUAAUUUGUAUUUUGUCGACCUUAGCGCUGCCACAAGAAACCCGUGAAACCGCGAGCCUGUUGCGUGUUGAUUUAAACCAGUUUGAAAUUACUAGAUGGAAUACCAAAUACCUUCAGAAUGACUCAAGUUGCAUUCUAACACAUGAUUGAGAGGUUUAACCGAGACAGUCACCCAAAUUCAGGAAGCUGUUUUCCAUUAGCAAAGGAUGGCUCCUGAAGCAACCAGUGCCUCGUGCAGGCGGCGCCUGGAGCAGGCCGCUCCGGCUGGCACCGAGCAAUGGCAGCGGCACAAGGGCUUAAACUAGGAACUGUACGUACAGCAUGAAACUUCAAGAUAGCUUCCCUGUACUUUUAAGGUUUUUAACGAGUUAAGAGGUCAGCGUGCGUCCCCCCGUGCCACGGGUGCUCAGUAAAAUGGCUUUGCUUGGAAUGUGGGUAUGCUCUGCUAGGCCUGGCUGACGCCACGAUUUAGCUAAGGCUUUGCUGAGAACUGUACGGCCCGUAUUGUAGGGCCUUACUUCUGUUUGCUCUUUUAAGGCCUUGCUCUGAAUCAGCUGUACUAGUUUGUAGUGGCUGAGCUAUUGUAGACUUGCUGAAAAAAUACAGGGGGUGGGAGGGGAAUGUGUAUGAACUUCAUUGUUGCGAAAAGAACUUCACCUUUGGCUUAAUCUUAGCUUUGUACUAGUAACUCUGCUCUCUGGAAAGCUUAUUUUUAUGGAUUUUUUUUUUUUUUUGACAGGACUCACCAGCCUAAUUUCAAAAGGGUUUAAUCAAUUUUAGUGCUUCCAUAGGUGAAUGGAAGCUUGGUAUGUUUGGUACUGUUCUGACAUUACUCUGAAGUUUCUGCCGAGGAGCGUUAACUUCUGAUAUCCAUGGAGUAAUGAUCAAGCCUGUAGUUUUUAUUUCAGUAAAUAUGUCAUGUUCAAGUAUGCUAAUACUUAAAUGCAGAAUGGAGAGAAGAAUAACUCGUCAGUGUGUUGUUAACUCUUCCUGCUGUCCUAGGCUUGGUUCUGGUGUGCAGAAGCAAACCAUUCUCUCUGUCCUGUUCCUGCUAGACUUGACAGUGGCAUGAGCAUACUGUGCUAAAAUCCUCUAAUGCCUCUUGGAUUUCUGAAAAACAAUACGAUCAUUAUUUUAGGGAAGCGCUGACCUACUCUUUUACUAAAGAACUUGCCUUGCAUUCCACGUACUUUCCCCUUUUUAGAAUCACGGUUCGUAUUCCUCUUGCUUCACAAUCACGUAACAUCCUUGUGGCAAGUAUAGCAGUUGCUUACCUGGAAAAGUAAUAUUAGAAAAGUGUAUUUUUAGCUGCCUUUUGAUGUGAUGUAGCAGCUGGAAACAAGGAGGGGAGGCAGUAUGCGGGGAUCUGACAGCACUGCCAGCCACAACAUAGGAACCACUGCUUUGGACUUGAAACCAAAAUGUGGGGAAACCAUUUUUACAGGCCUGAGUGCAGUGAUCCAGAUGUUAUGACUUUGUUUUUAUUUCUUAAGCUUUGUUUGAGGGUCCUCCCCAGGCUUCUAUCUGACAAACGUGGUUAAUGGAUGGAAAAAGUUCUGUGAAGCCUUUUAUUGGCACUUAUAUACAUAUUUAUGCUUUAUUAUAAGCAGGCAGUUCAUGCACACAUGGAAGGCAUAAUUAGUGAAAUGUCCCUUUAAUACAUUGACAGAUUGUAAGUAUCAAGUUGAAAAGUUACUCAAACAACUAACAAAAAU